AUAUCCACAGAAAAGAGGGUAAAAUCCAUUGCAAAUGGAGGCCCUUUGGCUUGAUGAUGACAUUGGCACGGGUGUUACCGCUGUGCAUGUGUGUGCGCACGCGUCGUUCUGAUAACGGAGUCGUUUCAGCUGGUAGUGUGUUUAAGGAGCUUAGGCUUUUAUGUUGACACAUCCGCCGUAAUAUAAACUUUAUGUGUCUCUCUAGUAAACGCUAAAAGUACUCAAUGUGCUAGUAGAUAGUACGUUGGAAAUUCUCUAAAUUGAACUUGGAUAACUCGAAUUCUAUUUACUCAAACUGCACCGCUCGAUUUCCCUUGAAUUUGCCUCAGUAAAUUUCAUAAUGAUCUUUUUGUGUUCCUUGGCAAUAUUUCACCUAUUCACUUGAGUGGGAUAAAACUUUGUUCUAGUGACUCCUCUAGACAUGUUGACCAAAUUGUUUUUUCAAUCAAUCAAUUUUUUUAUUGGUAAAACUUGGUUAUAACAUACAUCGGAAGAGCCGAAGCCGGAGGCUUAAUUGGCUUAACGUCAGAUAUAUUAAGAGUCAGGAGUUGCUUUUUGAUAUAGUGAGCUCUACCACGUAUUUGUCUGGGCAAAGAUACCUUGGCCACAGGAGCGGAUCCAGGAUUUCCAAAUAGGGGAUGGAAAAUGGCCGGAUAGAUGGCUGAUUCAGUAGUUCUUGGUAGGUCACAUAGAUCUAACAAUCCUUCACGCUGAAUUGGAUUAGUCGAAUCAGCAAAGUACCUCCUGUCCCUCAGACAUUUAUUUUCUUCAAACAAAGUGACGUUUCUAUUUUGUUUGACUCACAAAGGGGUUUGGGUAUCCACCCAAUCCCCCUGCUGUAUCCGUCCCUGGGCCACCAGUUAUAUGAAAAUGUGAGCAACUUAUUUAUGCAUUUUAAAUCGAAAACGGUAACUGCUCUCAAAAUAUUUGUUGUCAUUCUAGCGGCGUGUAAGUGUUGUAUCAAAGAAGAGAGGGAAUGUAUCAUAAAUGAGACUACAAUCUCUGUGUAAAUCCCCAAAACAUUUGGAAAUAAUGAAUGCAAUUCAUUCGUUAAGUAGUUUUGUUUUGAAAAUAGAAUUGUGUCGGAAAGAGUUCACAAAUUAAUGACAACGAAAUCCGUAUGAAUCUUUCAUCUUCCAUUUGCCUCGAUGAUCUCCCCCUCCCCUCAACCCUUCCGCAAGAUGAAAGUUUAGAUAUGCAGCCGGCUAUCGGUUAUAUUGUUUAAUAUCGCACGGCGAUCUAGAAGGAAUUAGUUUAGUCUGAGAUAGCAGGAUCGGCGCAACACGAAAAAGCCAUUCGCGAUCAAUAAGUAAGGACUGAUAACCGGGAUUCGCGUACAUUACGGAUUAUUCUAAGCUAUGCCUUAAAGUUUGAUAGAAGCAGAAAGCUGGACAAUCUUGCAGGUGUUUCAUAGGGCGAAGACCCUGCUAGCACAAAACCAGAACCACAAGCGAAUAAGAGAAAGCAAUCGUAACAUUGAUUACAGAAAGAUUUCUUUGAUGCAAGUCUUCAAACAACAGAUGUAAAUGUAGUUAGAAGUAAAGAAAUAAGCUAGAGAAUUGUAUUAAAAUUCAAUGUUUGUGAACUUUAUUUUAUCAAUGUCAUUAAAAAAAUCAUAUGAAAAUA